rnacentral:rRNA from 1 species
GAUGAACGCUGGCGGCGUGCCUAAUACAUGCAAGUCGAGCGAACAGAUGAGGAGCUUGCUCCUCUGACGUUAGCGGCGGACGGGUGAGUAACACGUGGAUAACCUACCUAUAAGACUGGGAUAACUUCGGGAAACCGGCGCUAAUACCGGAUAAUAUAUUGAACCGCAUGGUUCAAUAGUGAAAGACGGUUUUGCUGUCACUUAUAGAUGGAUCCGCGCCGCAUUAGCUAGUUGGUAAGGUAACGGCUUACCAAGGCAACGAUGCGUAGCCGACCUGAGAGGGUGAUCGGCCACACUGGAACUGAGACACGGUCAAGACUCCUACGGGAGGCAGCAGUAGGGAAUCUUCCGCAGUGGGCGAAAGCCUGACGGAGCAACGCCGCGUGAGUGAUGAAGGUCUUCGGAUCGUAAAACUCUGUUAUUAGGGAAGAACAAAUGUGUAAGUAACUAUGCACGGCUUGACGGUACCUAAUCAGAAAGCCACGGCUAACUACGUG